rnacentral:misc_RNA from 1 species
CGUGAUCGUAAUUCAGAGAUUCCGGUAGGUGUGCACGCCUAGUAAGAAUGAUAAUAAUCGGGGUAACAAUAAAUAACUUAUGAUACAAGAAACAGCGGUAGCGAACGUUAUUAAAACUUUAAAUCAACGAUAUAUACAAAAAACUGUUUCACAAAUAACGAGUAAAAUCAAAAAAAACAUAAAAUAAAACAACAAUAAUUAUUAUAAUGUUACUCAUAAUUGAAUUGAAAUUGUUUUUCCUUUUUUUAAACAAUACAGCACCGAUGGCAUAUCGAGGGUAAAAACUUUUCCGUUAAAUUGAUUACACAAAUCAUGGUUAAAAAUUAGUUUUGUAAACUGCAGUGACUGGUAAAAUCGGUGGAACUUUAAUAAUAUAAUAUACAGUUUUUCGACU